rnacentral:rRNA from 1 species
AGUGAACGCUGGCGGUAGGCCUAACACAUGCAAGUCGAACGGCAGCACAGGAGAGCUUGCUCUCUGGGUGGCGAGUGGCGGACGGGUGAGGAAUACAUCGGAAUCUACUUUUUCGUGGGGGAUAACGUAGGGAAACUUACGCUAAUACCGCAUACGACCUACGGGUGAAAGCAGGGGAUCUUCGGACCUUGCGCGAUUGAAUGAGCCGAUGUCGGAUUAGCUAGUUGGCGGGGUAAAGGCACACCAAGGCGACGAUCCGUAGCUGGUCUGAGAGGAUGAUCAGCCACACUGGAACUGAGGCACGGUCCAGACUCCUACGGGAGGCAGCAGUGGGGAAUAUUGGACAAUGGGCGCAAGCCUGAUCCAGCCAUACCGCGUGGGUGAAGAAGGCCUUCGGGUUGUAAAGCCCUUUUGUUGGGAAAGAAAUCCAGCUGGCUAAUACCCGGUUGGGAUGACGGUACCCAAAGAAUAAGCACCGGCUAACUUCGUGCCAGCAGCCGCAGUAA